AAAAAUUAGUAAUAAGUUUCAUUUCUCUUUGUUCAUAACAUGGAGUUUUUAUAAAAAACAAUAAUAGUAACAAUAAUAAGAUUUUCAAUCAAUUAAAGGGUUUUAUUUCAUUUCUAUUCUUUUUAUCUCUUCAUUACCCUGUUUUGAUUUCCUUCUUUUUCCCUUCACAUUUAGUGCACUAAACAAAGCGUUAAUUUGAGCUGUAUACAAGAAUCACUUUUUCAAACUUGGCGGGGGUUUUCAAUAAUUUGACGCUCAAAACCCUAUAUCCCGACAAUUUCCCAUUUUUCAGAUUAGAGUUUUACACAGAGACAGUCACAGUCACAUUCAAACUGGCUCAUUCUGAUGCAAUUCAUAGACAUGAAAGCCAUGAAAUCGCUCUACAAUCACAAAACCCUCUUCUUCUCAUACCCAAUAAAAGCCCCUAACCAGCAUUGCUCCUUUCAUUUCCGUUCCCCCCAAUUCCACUCCACCGCCCUUCGUUUCUUGGCUGGAGGCUCCGUGGAUCCCUCCACAGGCUCCGACUCUAGCGAUAAAACUCAAAAUGCCCCUCAAGUUUGGAGUUUUUACAAUCCACUCACGUCAACAAUUGAGACGCAAAGGAGCACGAAUAACAGCAACAGUAGCAACAACAAAAACGAUCAAGAAUCGGUACCAGGUUUGUCAAAUCUCAAAAUUAGGGUUUCAGAUAAUGAAAGUGAGAUAUUGAAUAAUAGAGACAUUAACAAAAUGGGGUUAACGAGGUACAGUAAUGAAAAUGAGGAAUUGAUAAAUGAAAAGAGAUACGCAAGUUUAAAGAAAGCUGAUUUAGUUGAUAAUAUUGUGAGCAAUAAUAAUAGAAAGAAGGGCAGAAGUAAAGUGAUUUAUGUUUGUGAAAGUUGUGGGAAUGAAGAUGGGCAGUGGUGGGGGAUUUGUAGAAGUUGUGGGAAGGCUGGAACGAUGAAGCAAUUUUCAGAUAGGGAUGAUAGGAGUGGGAACAGUAGAGUUAGUGGUGCUGAGGUUACAGAAAAUAUGGUGAGGUCUUGGUUACCGCAGAAGGUUAGCCAGACGCAACCAUUGAGGUUGAAAGAUGUUAAUCAGAGGAUGAAUCAGUUGAAUUGGAGGAUUCCUUUGAUUAUGUUCUAGUUAAUGAGAAUCAGAGGACCAGUAAAUUGGAUUGGCAAUUCGGAAUAUCAUCUAUUUUGAGCAGAAUGUGUGCUAAAGCUGAGAUAGCAUCUUAUCACUGCCUAGGAGUUCCCAUUAUUAGUUUCUUGGGAUUUACCAGACAAUCUUGCCACUAAAUCUCUUUUUUUAUUGAGAACUCUUUCGUCUAAUUCCAUCCAUGCAUUUGGAAAUUAUUGCCAGAUCAUUAUAUGCUUUGUGGGCGUACAUCCAUAUUUCUUAGGCCUGACAGUAACACUAAGGUGUUUGCCAAUAAAUGCAAUUUGCUCGUUCAUUUCAGCAACUUAUUACACAAUUUAUAGCUGGUCCUAUAUAGUUGAGUUAGAAUCCAUUGCAUGCUUUAUUUAGAAGAAUAUGAAUAGAUGUUUUGUGUCAUGUCAUAUAAGUUUGUGGAUUGUGUUCAGACCUGGACUGUUUGGAAGUGAAGUUGCCAGGGUGCUUGGUGGUGGCGUCGUUCCAGGUUCUCUAAUUUUAAUUGGUGGUGAUCCUGGAGUUGGCAAGAGUACACUGUUAUUGCAGGUUGCUGCAAUAAUAGCUGAAGGACAGGAUGUUGGUAAACGAGAUCCAGUUGUGUAUGUCUCUGGCGAAGAGAGUGUUGAGCAAAUUGUGAAUAGGGCUGACCGUCUAAGUAUUGGUGUGGAGGAACUUUUCUUGUAUUCAAGUACUGAUAUUGAGGACAUAUUAGCAAAAAUUCAGCCUCUAUCCCCUUGUGCUCUAAUAAUUGAUUCGAUUCAGACAGCUUAUAUACAAGGAGUUAGUGGAAGUGCUGGAGGAAUAUCUCAGGUUAAGGAAUGCACAUCAGCUUUGCUGCGUUUUGCCAAGAAGACAAAUAUACCAGUUCUUUUGGUUGGACAUGUGACGAAGUCUGGUGAUAUAGCAGGACCUCGGGUCUUGGAGCACAUUGUUGAUGUUGUUUUAUAUUUGGAAGGAGAGAAGCACUCAACUCAUCGAUUACUUCGUCCUGUGAAGAAUCGGUUUGGAUCCACAGAUGAGCUUGGAGUAUUUGAAAUGUCCCAAUCUGGUCUGCAAUCUGUCUCAAAUCCAAGUGAGAUAUUUCUAAGUGAGCAGUACUUAGGUUCAGAGGUUUUAGUCGGACUAGCUGUUGCCGUAAUAAUGGAUGGAUCUCGAAGUUUCCUUAUUGAAAUUCAGGCAUUGUGUGCCACUGGUUCAUCAGUUUCAAGGCAUGUUAACGGGAUUCAAGCGAACAGAGCUGACAUGAUUAUUUCAGUUCUUAAGAAGCAAGCUGGUCUAAUGCUCCAAGAUAAUGAUAUCUUUUUGAAUGUUGUUAGCGGGGUCACACUAACUGAGACUGCUGGGGAUCUUGCAAUAGCAGCUGCAAUUUGCAGUAGUUUCUUGGAGUUUCCUAUUCCCAAUAAUGUGGCAUUCAUUGGAGAAAUUGGCCUUGGUGGGGAGCUUCGCACGGUGCCCAGAAUGGAAAAAAGAGUACAUACAGUGGCAAAAUUGGGAUAUAAAAUGUGUAUUGUUCCCAAAUCAGCUAAUAAAUAUCUUUCAAAUUUAGCUUUUGAGGGGAUACAAAUCAUUGGCUGUGCUAACCUGAGACAAGUCAUUGAUGCGGUUUUCACGAAGCAGAGAUGAAGUGAAGUUGGAAAAGAUGAUUUGGAUGUGGACCAGUGAAGAAAGACAUCCUAUUGCCUUGUAUGCGAGUUAACAGAGUAGGUUUAAAAGUUGGAGAUGAAAGGGGGUAUCAAGUUUAAAACAUGGGCAUCCUUGUUGGUCUGAUUCUGUCUUGGUAAUGCUGAGGGCUGCAGGGUUUUGUAGAGCUUGUGCUCGUUUCCUUUGGAUGUGGAUUGCGGAGUGCGGAGAUGCAUUUAGGUUUUCAUAAUGUAUGAAUUCAAGGCAAUAUGAAUUGACAUGUUUGCUCAGGCAACCUUCAUUUUAAAGGAAUGAGACUUGGUAGGUUU